rnacentral:rRNA from 1 species
GAUGAACGCUGGCGGCGUGCCUAACACAUGCAAGUCGAGCGAACAGACGAGGAGUUCGCUUCUCUGACGUUACCGACGGACGGGUGAGUAACACGUGGAUAACCUACCUAUAAGACUGGGAUAAGUUCGGGAAACCGGAGCUAAUACAGGAUAAUAUAUUGAACCGCAGGGUUCUAUAGAGAAAGACGGUUUUGCUGUCACUUAUAGAUGGAUCCGCGCCGCAUUAGCUAGUUGGUAAGGUAACGGCUUACCAAGGCAACGAUGCGUAGCCGACCUGAGAGGGUGAUCGGCCACACUGAACUGAGACACGGUCCAGACUCCUACGGGAGGCAGCAGUAGGGAAUCUUCCGCAAUGGGCGAAAGCCUGACGGAGCAACGCCGCGUGAGUGAUGAAGGUCUUCGGAUCGUAAAACUCUGUUAUUAGGGAAGAACAAAUGUGUAAGUAACUAUGCACGUCUUGACGGUACCUAAUCAGAAAGCCACGGCUAACUACGUG